AAUGAACGCUGGCGGCAGGCCUAACACAUGCAAGUCGAACGGGUCCUUCGGGACUAGUGGCGGACGGGUGAGUAACGCGUGGGAACAUACCCAAAGGUACGGAAUAGCCUCUGGAAACGGAGAGUAAUACCGUAUGUGCCCUUCGGGGGAAAGAUUUAUCGCCUUUGGAUUGGCCCGCGUUGGAUUAGGUAGUUGGUGGGGUAAUGGCCUACCAAGCCGACGAUCCAUAGCUGGUUUGAGAGGAUGAUCAGCCACACUGGGACUGAGACACGGCCCAGACUCCUACGGGAGGCAGCAGUGGGGAAUCUUAGACAAUGGGGGAAACCCUGAUCUAGCCAUGCCGCGUGAUCGAUGAAGGCCUUAGGGUUGUAAAGAUCUUUCAGAUGGGAAGAUAAUGACGGUACCAUCAGAAGAAGCCCCCGGCUAAACUCCGUGCCAGCAGCCGCGGUAAU
rnacentral:rRNA from 1 species